rnacentral:rRNA from 1 species
CCUACGGGAGGCAGCAGUGGGGAAUUUUGGACAAUGGGGGAAAGCCUGACGCAGCGACGCCGCGUGGGUGAUGAAGGCCUUCGGGUCGUAAAGCCCUGUCGGAAGGGAAGAAAUCUUGCCGACCCAAUACGUCGGCAACUUGACGGUACCUUCUAAGGAAGCACCGGCUAACUCCGUGCCAGCAGCCGCGGUAAUACGGAGGGUGCGAGCGUUGUUCGGAAUCACUGGGCGUAAAGCGCGUGUAGGCGGCUUUUUAAGUCUGAUGUGAAAGCCCGGGGCUCACCCCCGGAAGUGCAUCGGAUACUGGAAGGCUUGAGUACCGGAGAGGAGGGUGGAAUUCCUGGUGUAGCGGUGAAAUGCGUAGAUAUCAGGAGGAACACCGGUGGCGAAGGCGGCCCUCUGGACGGAUACUGACGCUGAGACGCGAAAGCGUGGGGAGCGAACAGGAUUAGAUACCCUGGUAGUCCACGCCGUAAACGAUGAGUGCUAAGUGUUAGAGGGUUUCCGCCCUUUAGUGCUGAAGUUAACGCAUUAAGCACUCCGCCUGGGGAGUACGGCCGCAAGGCUGAAACUUAAAGGAAUUGACGG